GAUGAACGCUGGCGGCGUGCCUAAUACAUGCAAGUCGAUCGAACAGACGAGGAGCUUGCUCCUCUGACGUUAGCGGCGGACGGGUGAGUAACACGUGGAUAACCUACCUAUAAGACUGGUAUAACUUCGGGAAACCGGAGCUAAUACCGGAUAAUAUAUUGAACCGCAUGGUUCAUUAGUGAAAGACGGUUUUGCUGUCACUUAUAGAUGGAUCCGCGCCGCAUGAGCUAGUUGGUACGGUAACGGGUUACCAAGGCAACGAUGCGUAGCCGACCUGAGAGGGUGAUCGGCCACACGGGAACUGAGACACGGUCCUGACGCCUACGGGAGGCAGCAGUAGGGAAUCUGACGCAAUGGGCGAAAGCCUGACGGAGCGACGCCGCGUGAGUGAUGAAGGCCUUCGGAUCGUAAAACUCUGUUAUUAGGGAAGAACAAAUGUGUAAGGAACUAUGCACGGCUUGACGGUACCUAAUCAGAAAGCCACGGCUAACUACGUG
rnacentral:rRNA from 1 species